AUCGGUUCCACCUGCUCACCUGUUAACCCUUUCCCCACGGCACUUUCUCUUCCGCAGGCUGUGCAGCCCCAGCUCUCACAGCCUGUCCCCGGAGGUGAGGCUCGCCAGCCCUUUGCUCACCUUGGGGCUGGUUGGUCUGGAGAAGAGAAGGCUGAGAGGAGGUCUGGUCCAUGUCUGUAACUAUCUGAGGGGCUCAGGGCUGCACCUCUGCGGAGCAAAAAGAUGUGGAACAUCAUGUUUUGAAGAAUGUAAAGAAAUUUGACAGAUGUCUGGAAGCAAGGACAUACUUUCAUGAAAAUGAAAAAUUAAGACUGCAUGGAUUUCGUUCUCACUUCUUAAGGAGCCACCUUGGACUAUCUUUAGUGCGUCCAUAAAUAAACUCACCUAUUUCAGGUAAA